UGCUAAAUUAUCACCAAUGCAGUGAAACAGCCUGAAGAAGAUACGCAUACACACCACAGAGCAAAAGAUGCAAAAUGAAGGCAGAGCUCAAGAGGGAAAGCAUAAGAUGAAACGAGAUGCCAGAAUGAGAACUAAACCUAUCCAUCACAUUACAUCAAUAAAUGCAAAUGGGGUAAACCUAGUUUGGAAAGAAAAUCUAUGAUAUGCCUCUGUAUCAGACAUCUCUUAAUGUCACAUCAGAGCCUCUUGGCCUCCAGUGCCUUUGACCUAUCCUGUCCUUGCCCCUCCGUAGUGACCAAACUCUGCUUGGGCUCCAGCUAACUUCACGCAGAAACAGUCUCUGACACCUCAUGGCCACACUGCACCAUUUUUCCCCCAAAAUAAUUGGUCUCAAGAGUGGGGCUUAAAAGACUUUCAGGAUAGGACUGUGAAAUUGGAUUACCUACUGUUCUGAUAGCAGUAGAGACAGUCUAGUGUUACGUUGGUGGUGUGGUCACCCUUGGCAUGAAGUGGCAUCAAAAUUACUGAGGUUUUUGGGAGUUUCGCUAUGGUGCAUCAGAAACCAACUAUAUCCAUGAGGAUGCAGUUUCUAUCCCUGGCCUCAAUCAGUGGGUCAGGGAUCGAGCGUUGCUGUGGCUCUGGCGUAGGCUGGCAGCUGUAGCUCUGAUUCCACCGCCUGGGAAUUUCUAUAUGCUGUGGGUGUGGCCCUAAAAAGCAAAAAAAAAAAAGUGCUUAGGUUUUCAUCCAUGGUUAAUUGAGGUAGGGUACAGGUGGAAGGUGAAAUUGAGCUGGAAAAUGGAAUGGAGCAUUUGAUUGUAUGGGGACAAUGAUAAUUACGAGAUGUAUGGUAGGCUGGCUUUUACAACAGCAUGCGAAACCUUGCAAAAAAAGACAAGCCCAGAGUGAUAAGCCCAGAGUGGCUAACAGCCAAUUUAAGAUAUGUACAAAGCCAUAGGGAGGUUUAUGGCAGUUUUUAAGAAGACUCUCAUCUCAUUCAGCUUCAGGGCAAACUGCUAAAAGACAGGAUCAGCAGCUGAUCAUAAGGGUGACAGAGCUGCCAAAGGACUUUGAUAGAUCUGCUGUCAAAUGCAGGGCCUCACUAGGAAAAGCAUGGGACACUGGGAUGGGGAUGUUGGGUGGAUGAGCAUUGAAAACCUUGAACUCUCAAAUUCCCCUGAACUCUCCUGGCCAGCAGAAGCAGCCACUCCCCUCAUCUGGAGACAGUGCAAAGACCUCACUGGAAGCUGAUGUCUUGCAAGAUGUCAUUAACUUUUCUUUUCUUUCUUUCUUUUUUUUGGCCAUGGUGUGCUAUGGCUUAAUGUAGGAUCUCAGUUCCCAGACCAGGGAUCGAACCCAGUCUGCAGCAGUGAAAGUGCCAUAUCCUAACCACUAGACCACCAGGGAACACCCCGUUGGCUUUUCUUAAGAUCUACAUCCUUCAUCAUUCAUUGCCUCCAUGCCCAUAAUCAGAAUUGGGACUCGCCACAAACUGAGCGGGAAGGUACAGUUCCUACUGCCAGAGGAUCAGCCUACCCACCCAAGGAAUCCCGGGACCUAGUCAACACGUGCCACCUGGAGCAAAGGGAAGCCAUGUAGCAAUGGAUCUGAGCUGAUGGACCAGGGGGAGUAGAAUAUAAGGUGGGAUUGGAGAGAUUUUGUUGACAUGGGGCAUUCACUUGUGGAUGUGAAUUUGCCUUCAGUAUUCCAACAAGGAUUCCUGGAGCUGGUCCUAAUUGUAUGUGGAGGUCACUAAACUUGUGUGUGACAGGAGUUCCCAUCAUGGCUCGGAGGUUGGGGGGCCCAACUAGUGUCCAUGAGGACUCAGGUUCGAUCCUUGGCCUCAUUCAGUGGGUUAAGGAUCUGGUGUUGUCUUGAGCUGUGGUGUAGGUUGCAAACGCGGCUCAGAUCUGGCAUUGCUGUAGCUGUGGUGUAGGCCAUGGCUACAGCUCUGAUUUGACUCCUAGCCUGGGAACCUCCAUAUGCCAUGUGUACAGCCCUAAAUAGACAAAAUACAUACAUACAUACAUAGAAAUAAACUUGUAUGUGACAAUGAAGUGGAGAUGCCAGAAUUUCCAUGACAUUGAGAAAGUACCUAUAAGGCUCAGGGAGAGGGGAAUUCUAGAAUGGAUUUACUGUGUACCCACACACUGAGAACCACAUCUGACUGGGCCCGGGAAGCCCAGAGGCUGUGAGGAGGACAGGGCCAAUGGGAUCUUUGAGAUGCCCUGUGGGCUUAAUGAGAGUAGAUAAGUAGAUACUACCCGGGAGCUAGACUCCCAAAUAAAAGGGAGUUAAUUGACUGAUUGAUUGAUUGUUAGCAAGUUAAAGGCUGAUGUCAUCUACUGCUAUGGAUAAUGAUUGGUCCCUUGUCAAUACCCAGACCUGAGUGAGUUUUCAAAGUCCAUUGAAGAGUGGGGGCCAAGUCCCUUUGAGGAACACUGAGAGGAUUUUUUUCCUUACACAAGUGCUUCUCCAAUUCUCUGACACCAACCAGGCAUGCCGCCAUCCAAUUUGAAUCGGACUAACUAACUACCUUGGAGUUGGCAUCAGCCUCUGGGUUAAAGGGCUGUGCCCACAAGACUGCCUCCCUCCCCAGAUGCUGGUCUCAAGUAUAGGAUCCCCAGACUAUCCACACUUCUGUCUGACUUGGUUACCAAGUUGGGGGUUCCCUCAGCCCCUCCUCUCAGUAAAUUGCUAGAAUGACUCAUAGUCAUAGGACUUGGCAGAAUAUUAUACUUACCAUUACAGUCAUUAGAAAGGAAUAAACAGCCUGAGAAAGAGGCACAUAAGGUGAGACCCAGAAUAGUCCCAAGCACGGGUGCUUCUUUCCCUUUAAAGUUGGCUUGACCAGACACUAUCAAACUCCUAGAGGAAAACAUAGGCCAAACGCUCUCUGACAUAAACGACAGCAACAUCUUCUCGGAUCCACC
ensembl:lncRNA